GGGAGAAGAGCAAUUACAGUCAGCUCUCUUGUGGAAUCGUUUUUUUAGGACAAUCCCUGCGUUUUAACACAUUGAUAUCCUAUUUUUGUACUGACUACAAUAAUGGAGCCUUUUUCUGACCAGAUUGUGAUGUUCAUGCUGGCUGCAAGCAUAGAGGAAGAAAGGGCUGGUGAACAUCAGAAUCAAAGUCAGCAAAUGUCUGCAUUGGGUGAGUCAGUAGUGCGUGUUUCAUUUCCACGUCCACGCCAGUAUCGCACUAGGCGUGAACUGGAGGAUCUCAGCGAGUUCGAGGUGAUACAAAAUUAUCGCUUAUCGACUCGCAACAUAUAUUCGCUGUACGAUCUGUUGGAGGCCACCUGGAACCUCGGGCAUGGACCAAUCGCGCAGUCAGCGGUUUCCAGAAACUGCUGGCUAUGUGACAUUUUUUGGCGUCAGGCACAUUCCAGCCUACUUUGUCUCAAACAUGCGGUUUUUCACAGUCGACACUGUCACGCUGCAUAACCCAGGUCAUUAGGGCUUUCCGCAAAUUGACGAUCCAGUUCAUCAGAUUUCCAGAUACAGUCAGCGGAUGGCGUGAGCUCCAAUUAGACUUUUUCACCGAACACAAAUUUCCCAAUGUUCUGGGCGCGAUUGACUGUACCCACGUGCAGAUCAGGCCACCACGGAAUUCGGAAGAAUGUUUUCGGAACCGAAAACGAUUCCAUUCCAUGAAUAUACAGGCGGUCUGUGAUGUCAACAUGAAAUUUAUGAAUAUUUUUGUAGGAUUUUCAUCCUAAGCCAGUCAUUGCUGUUUGACGAUUUUGAAACAGGAAAAAUGCCGGGUGGCUGGCUGUUAGGUAUUUUUUUAUUUUAUUAUUAUUUCUUUUAUAUUACCCACCAUUUUUCUUAUUUCCACAGGCGAUGAGGGUUAUCCCAACAAAUCUUGGCUCUUGACCCCAUUGUCUAAUCCUGUUGGUUAAGCUGAAGAACGUUACCAAGAGACACACAAAGCAUCGAGGGGAGUAAUUGAGCGUGCCAUCGGUGUACUUAAAAGCCGGUUUAGAUGUUUGGACACUUUCGGUGGUGCUCUUUUGUACUCACCGGCGAAGGUUUGCGGCAUGGUAAAUGCAUGUUGUAUUUUACACAGCAUACUGUAUGUGUCGCAAACCGUUUGCCAGUGACUCUUCGUUGCAGGGCUUUCCGAUGCGGGAACCGUUCUUCUGCUCCACCGGUGGGUAUGGACGAAGGAGAUGAUUCUCGACGGACAUUGAUCCAAAGCUUUUUUUCCACUGCCUAGUUUUACGUCCUGUUGACGGCCCUUCCCAGGAAUGUUUUCAUCCUGUUGACGACCUGUUUUUUCCUGUUGUUGGGUUGCCGCAAGUAUUGGACCCGUUUAUCCCACUUUACCAUGGACGUCCUACUUGUGAUGUGGACCUGAACCUCCGCCAUGUAGCAGGCACCCCCCCUCAGGUCUUGCGGAGUAUCCUUCCCAAGGUGCAGAAACCAGCGUGGAUGUGAAGGGAUAUGACAGUUCCCCUGCUGUACCAUGGGCGACCUACCACAAUACCACUGCACCUCUGAAAUGCCAUAUUUUACAUUUUAUUUACUAAUAAUUUAAAGAAACCACACAAAACUUCUCAUUUUAACGAUUUAUUGAAGAAUUAUA